rnacentral:rRNA from 1 species
UAUUUUACCUUUUGUAUCAGGGUAAAUUUAAUAUUAAUUUUUUAUAGUUUUAUCUCGAAUCUUAGGGAUUUAUUUUAAAAUGAUUCUUUUUGUUUCAUAAUGAUCUUUAAUUUUAAAAUGGUAGUGAAAUUCUAUUCGUUCUUUGUGAUAUCUAGUUUUCUGAGAGUUAAAUUUAAUUUAGUGUUGAUUAUAAAUUUAUUUUAUAUUUAAUUUUUUUUUAAUCUUUAUUAAAUGUUAAAGGGUUUAGCUUUUAAUAUUUAUUAUAAUAUGUUUUAAUUAUUAUUUAUUAUAGGCUUGAAAUUAGCCAUUAUUUUAAUUACGUUUUAGUUUAACUUUUUUAUUAAUUAUUACUUAUGUUAUUUAAUUUUUUUAUUGGAAUGUCUCCUUUAAUUAUUGUUGGGGAGUAAUUAUUAUUUAAUUAGUAUAUUUAUUUGUUUAUAUAAUUAAAUUUAUUAAUAUAUAUAAAGGAACUCGGCAAUUUAAAUUUGUAUCCGCCUGUUUAUCAAAAACAUCUCUUUUAGAGUUAAAUUAAAGGUUGGGCCUGCUCACUGAUUUUUUAAAGAGCCGCGGUAUUUUGACUGUGCAAAGGUAGCAUAAUCAUUAGUAUAUUAAUUGUAUACUGGAAUGAAAGGUUUGACGAGAUUCAAUCUGUCUCUAUAUGUAAGGUAAAAUUUCACUUUCUAGUUAAAAGGCUGGAAUUUAUUUUUUGGACGAUAAGACCCUAUAGAGUUUAUUUGAUUAUUUCUUUUAAUUUAGGUUAUUAUUUUUUAAUAUUAAUAUAAAAAUUUAGUUGGGGUGACUUGAGUAAUAGUUAAACUAUUCAUUAUUAUUAUCAUUUAUUUAUGUUAUUUAUGAUCCUUUAUUAUUGAUUUAAAGAUAAAUUACCUUAGGGAUAACAGCGUAAUUAUCUUUGAGAGUUCUAAUUGACAAGAUAGAUUGCGACCUCGAUGUUGGAUUAAGAUUAAUAUUUGGGUGUAGGUGCUUAAAUUAUUGGUCUGUUCGACCAUUAAAAUCUUACAUGAUCUGAGUUCAGACCGGUGUGAGCCAGGUUGGUUUCUAUCCAAAAUUUAUUUAUAUUUUUUAGUACGAAAGGACCAUAAAUAUUAAUUAUUUUAUUUUAUUUUGAUUAUUAUU